CAUCUCUUGUUAAGCAUUUGUAUAUUCCCUUGCCAUCGUUCCCAUUUCGCAGCCUCCACCGCUGCAUUCCCCUGUUUUCGUCGCCACACUCUCGGCUUCGCUUGGUGCAGGUCGGGAAUCGAUCGAUCGAUCGGUGAUGGGACGCCGGAUCCCUCUGCUUCCGGAAUCCGAUCCGAUCUCCACUGGUCCCGCCGGCACGCUUCCCCUCUUGCAUCAAGUGAAUUCGAGAAUACUUGGCGAAAAGGAAGCUCCUUGAUUGGAUUUCGGUAUUUGAACGAUUGCAUGAUCAUAUUUGAGAACGCUGGUUAAAGCCCUUGAUGACUGAGACGAAGAUAUUGGCUAAGUGAACUCGGUUGAUGUUCCUUUGUUAUUUUAUACUUGGCCCUAUGCUCAAAUCAUUCGGUAAGGCACAAAAAAUUGCUGGUGGAUAGCAUAAAUAUAACAUUUGGGUCCAAUGUAGCCCUUUUUCUGGCAUUGUACAGUCGACAAUCCAUUUGUUCAGUAAUGUACUUAAAUAAGUGCUAAUGAGUCAAUGCCAAAUAGGCUUUUGCAUAUUGAACUUGAUAAUUAGGUAUGUCAGUUGAGCUACAAAUUUUCAAA